UACAGGGGGUGCAAACGUUGCUCGGAAUCAUUGGGCGUAAAGCGCACGUAGGCGGUUCGUUAUGUCGGAUGUGAAAGCCCUUGGCUUAACCGAGGAAGUGCAUCCGAAACUGGCGAGCUAGAGUACUAAAGAGGAUCGCGGAAUUCCCGGUGUAGAGGUGAAAUUCGUAGAUAUCGGGAGGAACACCGGUGGCGAAGGCGGCGAUCUGGACGAUGACUGACGCUGAGACGCGAAAGCGUGGGGAGCAAACAGG
rnacentral:rRNA from 1 species